CCUACGGGUGGCAGCAGUGGGGAAUAUUGGGCAAUGGGCGCAAGCCUGACCCAGCAACGCCGCGUGAAGGAUGAAGGCCCUCGGGUUGUAAACUUCUUUUGUCAGGGACGUAGCAAGUGACGGUACCUGACGAAUAUGCCACGGCUAACUACGUGCCAGCAGCCGCGGCAAUACGUAGGUGGCAAGCGUUAUCCGGAUUUAUUGGGUGUAAAGGGCGUGUAGGCGGGAAUGCAAGUCAGAUGUGAAAACUAUGGGCUCAACCCGUAUCCUGCAGUUGAAACUGUAUUUCUUGAGUGCGGGAGAGGCAAGCGGAAUUCCGUGUGUAGCGGUGAAAUGCGUAGAUAUACGGAGGAACACCAGUGGCGAAGGCGGAUUGCUGGACAGUAACUGACGCUGAGGCGCGAAAGCGUGGGGAGCAAACAGGAUUAGAUACCCGAGUAGUC
rnacentral:rRNA from 1 species